GAUAAACGCUGGCGGCGUGCUUAACACAUGCAAGUCGAACGAAGUUUUUCUUUCGGGAGGAACUUAGUGGCGGACGGGUGAGUAACGCGUGGGUAACCUGCCCUGUACAGGGGGACAACAGCUGGAAACGGCUGCUAAUACCGCAUAAGCCCUUAGCACUGCAUGGUGCAUAGGGAAAAGGGGCAAUCCGGUACAGGAUGGACCCGCGUCUGAUUAGCCAGUUGGCAGGGUAACGGCCUACCAAAGCGACGAUCAGUAGCCGAUCUGAGAGGAUGUACGGGCACAUUGGGACUGAGACACGGCCCAGACUCCUACGGGAAGCAGCAGUGGGGAAUAUUGCACAAUGGAGGAAACUCUGAUGCAGCGACGCCGCGUGAGUGAAGAAGUAUUUCGGUAUGUAAAGCUCUAUCAGCAGGAAAGAAAAUGACGGUACCUGACUAAGAAGCACCGGCUAAAUACGUG
rnacentral:rRNA from 1 species